rnacentral:tRNA from 1 species
GCGGGUGUAGUUCAAUGGCAGAACACCAGCCUUCCAAGCUGGUCACGUGAGUUCGAUUCUCAUCACCCGCU